rfam:Candidatus Rokubacteria bacterium GWA2_73_35 gwa2_scaffold_40939, whole genome shotgun sequence.
UGUCGUCGUGGGGGGAGGGAUUCCUGAGAACCGGGUGCGGCCCGGGACCCCUCGAACCUGACCUGGAUAAUCCCAGCGAAGGGAACACGGCGAGCACGAUGG